rnacentral:lncRNA from 1 species
GGAAAGGCUUCUUUAUGGAGGUAAAACCCCUUGCUCCACUGAGACUAUUUCACACACAGCAAAAUCGGGGUGGAUUGGGCACUGAAAAUACAGGAAUUAUAUUGUUACAGGCCACCCCAAUCUCUGUCAAGCAGUAGCAAGAGAUUCCUGGGUUUGUGUUCCUUUGGAAUGAGGCACAAUAGAGACUAGUGUCUUUAAGAAAUACGGUUUAUUUUAUACAUGUUUACAGCUGAAGCCUUCAGUGGUGGAGGUGCAGAACAUCACAUCCCAAGACUAUCUCUCAUUGCUCCUCUUGUCAGCAGCUUGGGUCCAAAUCAGCAGCCAGUCAUGCUUCUCGGUGCAGCCUUUUCCAGCCAGCGCACUUAGAGCUCCUCCUUCCCAGAAAACCCUGUUCCCCAAACCUCUGUGGUGACAUUGCACCCCUGUUUCUCUGGCAAUCUCCCCCUCUCAAUUCUGCUAAGUAACACACAGCUGGAGGAGGAACUCCACCCCUUUCCAUGUCUGACUGAAUAUCUGACCUUUCAUCAGGGUAUUAAUGAUUCUGCCUUUGUUCUUUGAAGUCAAGUCAGCUUCCUGGGGGACUGGCUUAGAGAGGUGCUUAACAAACCCCACAUAUAUAAAUUUUAAAAAUUAUGGAGAACCUGGCACUGGGAGUGAUGUAGAUUGGGGAAAAACUGUAGUUCACUGGUAGAGCAUCAGCUUUGCAUGCAGAAGCUCCUAAAUUCAAUCACCAGCAUCUCCAGGGAGGUUGGAAAUGCAUGUGAAAUACUUUCAAAUCACCAUGUACCGUAUUUUUCGCUCUAUAAGAUGCACCAGACCACAAGAUGCACCUAGUUUUUGGAGGAGAAAAACAGGGGGGGAAAUAUUCUGAAUCUCAGAAGCCAGAACAGCAAGAGAGAUCACUACACAGUGAAAGCAGCAAUCCCUCUUGCUGUUCUGACUUCUGGGAUAGCUGCGCAGCCUGCAUUCGCUCCAUAAGACACGACAGAUCCCCCCCUUACUUUUUAGGAGGGAAAAAGUGAGUCUUAUAGAGCAAAAAAUACGGUAAUUUCCAAUCUAAGACAUUUUCAGGCCUUCCAUCAGAUAUCUAGACAAUUUAGGGCAAAACCUGGUGCAAUAAAAGGCAUCAAAUAUUUUUCUUGUUUUCAGACUAGCUCAAUCUAAUGUCCUUUUGAGGGAGCGGUAAUGAAAAAUAACAGCUUCCUAAAAAUAAUAUAGCAUUAAGAGGCGCAUAACUGCAUAAAGUAUUCUGCCAUUAGGCACCACUACUGAAAAAUGCAAUCAUUGUUGCUUGGAUAUCUUCGUGCUGCCCAUUUUUCACUCUUUGUAAGACUAAUUGCAAUUUCUUUUCCAGGUCACCUUCCUGGGACCCCUGGGCACAAUAACUACAUAUUCACCCCAGAGGUACAGAUCCUCCCAGACACAUUUUUCUGUGCAGACUGCAACGGAGAGGAAUGCCAUAGGAAGCUGGUUUGAAACCAACAAGGGAUACUGUGGCUCCUGCUGCUGAAAUCAUCCAUGAUGGAAGAAUAAGAGGCACUGAGAAGACCAUACACAGGACCAGGUUGGCAGAGAAAGAACCUUGUGUGGAGAGAGUGUACAGGUCUCGCUGUUAGACAAACUAAAUUGGUUUGGUGGUGGGGAUAUGAUGUCACAAGCUGGAGAAGGAUGCUAAUCAGGAGCCCUGAAAGAGGACUAGAUAAGAGCAGAAGUGGAAAUGGUAGUGGAGAACAACUAGGGACUCAUUCUACAGUAUUUUCAGAAGCAACAGUGAUGCCAUGUAUAUCGGCCUAAAGCAUGGCUUAGCUUGGAAGCAAACUCCCAGUGUUCUUAAGGGGGCACUGCAAAAGGAGGGGACAAGUUAUUAAGGCACCCUUAAAGACUUCUCUGGCUAAAAUAAAUUAUCUGGGACAGAGGGUUCAUUGUUUCCUUUAAUCUGCACCUCCCCCUGACCCCAAAGCAUCCACCCUUCCUCCUUACUCCCCUAAAAGCUGAAAUGGCAGCAUUGGAAGAUGCCCUCCCCAUACUACAGUGCCAGAAGGCCCAAGCACCACUGCUCUUUCAGUCCUGAUGUGGUACUGAGAGCAUCUAGAAAGAGCCCUUCCUCCACUUACUGCUACCACUGCCAUAAAAGGAAAUGAGGAGAAUCCUCUUUCCCGCCCAUAGAGGCCAGGCAGGGACCACAUAUCCAAAGCAAGGGACCACCCCUUGCUUUGGAUAUCAGAGAAAGGGGUGGAAGAUCAUGAGAAGCAUGAGCAUUGCUAACAUAUUCAUCCCACCUAUCAAACCAGCUUACCCACUACCACCACGGCUAGCACAUUGAUUCUUAUUUACAUUUUGUGGGCACUGAAAACCAUUUUGCAAGGCUGCUAUAAACUCACAUUCCUUAAGAAAAAGCAGCCUAGAGUGUUAAGAGAUUAUUUAAGAUAAGGUAAUUUCUGGAGAUAAGCAUUCUUUUUCCCCCUACAAACCCAAAUGUGAUACCUUGGUGCCAUCUGCUGGUUGCUGCUCAGGCUGCAUGAGUUUGAAAAGUUGAACCAAUUUUAGCAAGAGCGGGAUCUUCAAAAUUCUGCUCGGGUCCACAAUUUUUCUUUUGAAGUUCUUACUAAGAACCCAUGUAGGAAAUUAGCCAAAGUUCAACCCCACUUGCUCCAUUAUCAGGAAGAGCUGUGGUGGUCAAGAAAGUCUGCAUUAGAUACACCACCUCUGUUCUUCUAAUGUGUAUUUUGAAUACAAUUCUCUGACUCAGAUUAAUUCACUUAUGUAGAAUCUGAGACACACUGGAGGUGAACACCCAAGUUUUGCUGGAUGUUAUUUAGACAAAGCAAUUGUUGCCUAUUUUUGGAGGUAAUCCUGUUAUUCUGUAAGUAUACAGUGCUACUAAGAUUUUAAAGGCUUUAUAAUGGAUAGAGGUCUACUGGCAUGUAAACCCCAUCUAGGCACAUCCCCUGAGACAGCUUUAAAAAUCCAGAAUCU